rnacentral:lncRNA from 1 species
AGUAGAUGGCGGUAAUGCUCAAUUGGUGAUUGCGAGCCGCCAAUAAAAAAACGAAUAAGAAGAAGAAGAAGAAGAAGACUUCUGCUGCUGAGAAACCCAUCACUGUCUCUGCGCUCAACUUCUCCCAGCCGCCACUCUGGGUUUGAUUACUUUCGCCUGCUCGUCUUGUUUUCAUGAAAUGAACGGACGUGAGAGCAGCUAGCGUCCUUCUGCACGGCUCUGUCGUUACAAGGAGAGGAGAACCUCCUGUCCAGCACCGCAACAUCAUGGACGCCUGUGCACGGAUCAGAGGGGUCCCGUUAAAGAGCUGUGCCAACAUGAAGAAAGAGACCAUCCGUGAGGGCUCACACCCGUGUCUGAAGAGCCUGUUGAAACACAAGAAGGAGCUGUGCAGUGUGGUAGUGGAGCUGCAUAAUAAAGAACCACAGUCUCUAUCAGAAGUAAGGAUCGCACUUUAUUUAUAUGCAUGCUUGCAAUUGCAAAGGGGGGCGUUUUUGCAGUGGUUAAAGGAUUAUUCUGGGUUCAAUACUAGUUAAGCUCAGUCUUGUCCCUCUUUUCAAUUGUUCCUCAGUUGCUUUAAAAAAGCGAAAAUCUGGGCUACAUCGAGGCACAGUGGAAGUGAAUGGAGCUGAUCCAUAAACAUUUCAAUAGUGUAGCCACAAGACAUAAGCAAUAUGUGUGUUAGUAUCAAAGAUGAGACAAU